GGUUAAGUAAUUAAGCGUAGACGGUGGAUGCCUUGGCAGUCAGAGGCGAUGAAGGACGUACUAACCUGCGAAAAGCGAUGGUGAGCUGGUAAGAAGCAUUUGAGCCAUCGAUGUCCGAAUGGGGAAACCCACCUGCAUAAGCAGGUAUCUUAGCGUGAAUCCAUAGCGCUAAGAGGCGAACUCGGGGAACUGAAACAUCUAAGUGCCCGAAGGAAAAGAAAUCAAUUGAGAUUCCGGCAGUAGCGGCGAGCGACCCCGGAGCAGCCCUUAAGCGGCUUAGGCGUUAGGUGAACAGGUUGGAAAACCUGGCAAUAAAGGGUGAUAGCCCCGUAACCGACGGCGCCUUAGGCGUGAAAACGAGUAAGACGGGACACGUGAUAUCUUGUCUGAAUAUGGGGGGACCAUCCUCCAAGGCUAAAUACUCCUGACUGACCGAUAGUGAACCAGUACCGUGAGGGAAAGGCGAAAAGAACCCCUGUGAGGGGAGUGAAAUAGAACCUGAAACCGUCUACGUACAAGCAGUGGGAGCCCCAUCACUAAGACACUUCAUCUUAGUGAGACGCUAUCACUUUGUUGACUGGGUUAACCACGCGCAGCGUGGGUCAACCACCCAAUCCAGCAGAGGUGACUUAGUGAUGGGGUGACCGCGUACCUUUUGUAUAAUGGGUCAGCGACUUAAUGUAAGUAGCAAGGUUAACCGCAUAGGGGAGCCGUAGGGAAACCGAGUCUUAACUGGGCGACAGUUGCUUGCAUUAGACCCGAAACCGAGUGAUCUAGCCAUGGGCAGGUUGAAGGUUGAGUAACAUCAACUGGAGGACCGAACUCACUAACGUUGAAAAGUUAGGAGAUGACCUGUGGCUAGGGGUGAAAGGCCAAUCAAACUCGGAGAUAGCUGGUUCUCCCCGAAAGCUAUUUAGGUAGCGCCUCGGACGAACACUACUGGGGGUAGAGCACUGUUAAGGCUAGGGGGUCAUCCCGACUUACCAACCCUUUGCAAACUCCGAAUACCAGUAAGUGCUAUCCGGGAGACACACGGCGGGUGCUAACGUCCGUCGUGGAGAGGGAAACAACCCAGACCGCCAGCUAAGGUCCCCAAGUUAUCGCUAAGUGGGAAACGAUGUGGGAAGGCUCAGACAGCCAGGAUGUUGGCUUAGAAGCAGCCAUCAUUUAAAGAAAGCGUAAUAGCUCACUGGUCGAGUCGGCCUGCGCGGAAGAUGUAACGGGGCUAAGCGAUACACCGAAGCUGCGGCAAUGUCCUUAUGGAUAUUGGGUAGGGGAGCGUUGUGUAAGCUGUUGAAGGUGUGCUGAGAGGCAUGCUGGAGGUAUCACAAGUGCGAAUGCUGACAUGAGUAACGAUAAAGGGGGUGAAAAACCUCCUCGCCGGAAGACCAAGGGUUCCUGUCCAACGUUAAUCGGGGCAGGGUAAGUCGGCCCCUAAGGCGAGGCCGAAAGGCGUAGUCGAUGGGAAACGGGUUAAUAUUCCCGUACUGCUACUUACUGCGAUGGGGGGACGGAGAAGGCUAGGUGGGCCUGGCGAUGGUUGUCCAGGUUCAAGUGCGUAGGCUGAUUUCUUAGGCAAAUCCGGGAAAUCAAGGCCGAGACACGAUGUCGAGCCACCAAGGUGGUGAAGUCAUUGAUGCCAUGCUUCCGGGAAAAGCCUCUAAGCUUCAGGUAAGUAGGAACCGUACUCCAAACCGACACAGGUGGUCGGGUAGAGAAUACCAAGGCGCUUGAGAGAACUCGGGUGAAGGAACUAGGCAAAAUGGUACCGUAACUUCGGGAGAAGGUACGCUGCCCGCGGUGAAGUCCCUAGCGGAUGGAGCUAUGGGCAGUCGCAGAUACCAGGUGGCUGCAACUGUUUAUUAAAAACACAGCACUGUGCAAAAUCGAAAGAUGACGUAUACGGUGUGACGCCUGCCCGGUGCCGGAAGGUUAAUUGAUGUGGUUAUCGCAAGAGAAGCCAUUGAUUGAAGCCCCGGUAAACGGCGGCCGUAACUAUAACGGUCCUAAGGUAGCGAAAUUCCUUGUCGGGUAAGUUCCGACCUGCACGAAUGGCGUAAUGAUGGCCACGCUGUCUCCACCCGAGACUCAGUGAAAUUGAAAUCGCAGUGAAGAUGCUGUGUACCCGCGGCUAGACGGAAAGACCCCGUGAACCUUUACUACAGCUUGGCACUGAACAUUGAGCCUACAUGUGUAGGAUAGGUGGGAGGCUUUGAAGCGGCGACGCCAGUUGCUGUGGAGCCAUCCUUGAAAUACCACCCUUGUAUGUUUGAUGUUCUAACUUAGCCCCGUUAUCCGGGGUGAGGACAGUGCCUGGUGGGUAGUUUGACUGGGGCGGUCUCCUCCCAAAGUGUAACGGAGGAGCACGAAGGUGGGCUAAUCACGGUCGGACAUCGUGAGGUUAGUGCAAUGGCAUAAGCCCGCUUAACUGCGAGAGUGACGGCUCGAGCAGGUACGAAAGUAGGUCAUAGUGAUCCGGUGGUUCUGAAUGGAAGGGCCAUCGCUCAACGGAUAAAAGGUACUCCGGGGAUAACAGGCUGAUACCGCCCAAGAGUUCAUAUCGACGGCGGUGUUUGGCACCUCGAUGUCGGCUCAUCACAUCCUGGGGCUGAAGUCGGUCCCAAGGGUAUGGCUGUUCGCCAUUUAAAGUGGUACGCGAGCUGGGUUUAGAACGUCGUGAGACAGUUCGGUCCCUAUCUGCCGUGGGCGUUGGAUGAUUGAGGGGAGCUGCUCCUAGUACGAGAGGACCGGAGUGGACGAACCGCUGGUGUUCGGGUUGUGUCGCCAGACGCAUUGCCCGGUAGCUAAGUUCGGCACAGAUAAGCGCUGAAAGCAUCUAAGCGCGAAGCUGGCCCCGAGAUGAGUCAUCCCUAGAGCCUCGAGCUCUCUAAAGGGUUGUUCUAGACGAGAACGUUGAUAGGCAGGGUGUGUAAGCGCUGUGAGGCGUUGAGCUAACCUGUACUAAUGGCCCGUGAGGCUUAACCAU
rnacentral:rRNA from 1 species